rnacentral:rRNA from 1 species
CCUACGGGAGGCUGCAGUAGGGAAUCUUCCACAAUGGGCGAAAGCCUGAUGGAGCAACGCCGCGUGGGUGAAGAAGGUCUUCGGAUCGUAAAACCCUGUUGUUAGAGAAGAAAGUGCGUGAGAGUAACUGUUCACGCUUCGACGGUAUCUAACCAGAAAGCCACGGCUAAAUACGUGCCAGCAGCCGCGGUAAUACGUAGGUGGCAAGCGUUAUCCGGAUUUAUUGGGCGUAAAGGGAGCGCAGGCGGUCUGUUAAGUCUGAUGUGAAAGGCUUCGGCUUAACCGGGGUAUUGCAUUGGAGACUGGGAGACUUGAGUGCAGAAGAGGGGAGUGGAACUCCAUGUGUAGCGGUGAAAUGCGUAGAUAUAUGGAAGAACACCAGUGGCGAAAGCGGCUCUCUGGACUGUAACUGACGCUGAGGUUCGAAAGCGUGGGUAGCAAACAGGAUUAGAUACCCGGGUAGUC